AGAUUAUGUGUACUCUAUGUUUAAAUGUGUAUCAAGUAUAGCAAACAUACUGAUGUGCGAAAUGCAUUAAGAGGUGUAUCAGGGGAACAAUCUGCAUGCUGGCUGAACACUCCCCACUGCCUCCCAGAGGCUUUUCAUCCUUAACCUGAAAUCAUCCCGUUUCUCCCACAUGGGUUACUCUACUCUCAUUGGUUACUCUCAUGGGUUACUCUACUCUCAUUGGUUACUCUACUCUCAUGGGUUACUCUACUCUCAUUGGUUACUCUACUCUCAUUGGUUACUCUCAUUGGUUACUCUCAUUGGUUACUCUCAUUGGUUACUCUACUCUCAUGGGUUACUCUACUCUCAUUGGUUACUCUCAUUGGUUACUCUCAUGGGUUACUCUCAUUGGUUACUCUCAUUGGUUACUCUCAUUGGUUACUCUACUCGCAUUGGUUACUCUACUCUCAUUGGUUACUCUCAUUGGUUACUCUCAUUGGUUACUCUACUCCCAUUGGUUACUCUACUCUCAUUGGUUACUCUCAUUGGUUACUCUACUCUCAUUGGUUACUCUACUCUCAUGGGUUACUCUACUCUCAUUGGCUACUCUCAUGGGUUACUCUCAUUGGUUACUCUACUCUCAUUGGUUACUCUCAUUGGUUACUCUACUCUCAUUGGUUACUCUACUCUCAUGGGUUACUCUCAUUGGUUACUCUACUCUCAUGGGUUACUCUCAUUGGUUACUCUCAUUGGUUACUCUACUCUCAUUGGUUACUGUACUCUCAUUGGUUACUCUACUCUCAUUGGUUACUCUCAUUGGUUACUCUACUCUCAUUGGUUACUCUACUCUCAUUGGUUACUCUACUCUCAUGGGUUACUCUCAUUGGUUACUCUACUCUCAUUGGUUACUCUACUCUCAUUGGUUACUCUCAUUGGUUACUCUACUCUCAUUGGUUACUCUACUCUCAUGGGUUACUCUACUCUCAUUGGUUACUCUACUCUCAUUGGUUACUCUCAUUGGUUACUCUACUCUCAUUGGUUACUCUCAUUGGUUACUCUACUCUCAUUGGUUACUCUACUCUCAUUGGUUACUCUCAUUGGUUACUCUACUCUCAUUGGUUACUCUACUCUCAUUGGUUACUCUCAUUGGUUACUCUACUCUCAUUGGUUACUCUCAUUGGUUACUCUACUCUCAUUGGUUACUCUCAUUGGUUACUCUACUCUCAUGGGUUACUCUCAUUGGUUACUCUACUCUCAUGGGUUACUCUACUCUCAUUGGUUACUCUACUCUCAUUGGUUACUCUCAUGGGUUACUCUCAUUGGUUACUCUCAUGGGUUACUCUCAUUGGUUACUCUACUCUCAUUGGUUACUCUACUCUCAUCGGUUACUCUACUCUCAUUGGUUACUCUACUCUCAUUGGUUACUCUACUCUCAUGGGUUACUCUACUCUCAUUGGUUACUCUACUCUCAUGGGUUACUCUACUCUCAUUGGUUACUCUCAUUGGUUACUCUCAUUGGUUACUCUACUCUAAUUGGUUACUCUACUCUCAUUGGUUACUCUACUCUCAUUGGUUACUCUCAUUGGUUACUCUACUCUCAUUGGUUACUCUACUCUCAUUGGUUACUCUCAUUGGUUACUCUCAUUGGUUACUCUACUCUCAUUGGUUACUCUCAUGGGUUACUCUACUCUCAUUGGUUACUCUACUCUCAUCGGUUACUCUACUCUCAUGGGUUACUCUCAUUGGUUACUCUACUCUCAUUGAUUACUCUACUCUCAUUGGUUACUCUACUCUCAUUGGUUACUCUCAUGGGUUACUCUCAUGGGUUACUCUCUAGU
rnacentral:lncRNA from 1 species